rnacentral:rRNA from 1 species
ACAUGCCUACAACAUAACGUUAAUGCACUGGAUUCCAUUAGAACUCCACAGUUAAGCGUGCUCGGUCUAGAGUAGUACUGGGAUGGGUGAUCGCUCGGGAAGUACUAGUAUUUUACAUGCC